rnacentral:misc_RNA from 1 species
AUGUCAGAAACAUAACAGAAACUUCGAGUUUGUGUCCCAGGCAACUGAACUGUAAGAGGCUCACCUCUGAGCGCUUGAGCUAUGAAGUUACUGACCACACGUCCAUCGUCAAUGUUCAUGCGUGGUCCGUAAGUAUUGAAGAUUCGGGCAAUUCGAAUCUCUAUGCCAUGCUGCCUAUGAUAAUCGAACAUCAAAGUUUCCGCCACACGCUUGCCUUCA